AGUAACGCGUGAGGAACCUGCCUCAAAGAGGGGGACAACAGUUGGAAACGACUGCUAAUACCGCAUAAGCCCACGGCUCGGCAUCGAGCAGAGGGAAAAGGAGCAAUCCGCUUUGAGAUGGCCUCGCGUCCGAUUAGCUAGUUGGCGAGGUAAUGGCCCACCAAGGCGACGAUCGGUAGCCGGACUGAGAGGUUGAACGGCCACAUUGGGACUGAGGCACGGCCCAG
rnacentral:rRNA from 1 species